rnacentral:lncRNA from 1 species
AAUAUGAAAGCAGCAUCUUAUACACUGGGACUAGGUUUAAAAGUGGCUGUGAGAUGUCACACGAGUCCUGGGAACUGAGCCCUGGUUUUCUGGAAGAGCUAAGACAUCUCUCCGGCCACCUACUUGGAAUCCUGAAUGCUAGCUACCUAUGCCAUUUGCUGCUGUGUAAUACUAAAAGGCUGUACAGAGAGAAUGAGCUUCCUAAUAAACUGAUAUUUCCACAUUAAUCAAGUAAAUUCCUUUUGUUGUCAGUGAAAAGUCUGUGAUUUUAGUGUUGGUUUACAGCUGAAACCAAAAUAGAUAUGGAAAAUAAGAUGAUAUUGACGUCAAUGGUAUAAAUUACUCUCUUGAUUUUCAUUUGCCUUACAAAGCCUUUAAUUAGAUUUGUUCUCCAGGAAUUGUUGCAUAGUAUUCUUCCACAGGUAUGAAAAAGUAUAUUCAACUUCUGGCCUCUUCAUAUGAUAAGUGAUCAGGUGGUUCUCCAGAACAUAUAUCCCAUCAAACCGAACUGCUGUUUAAAUCUUGCCUUACCAUUGACUUUCCAGGACUUUAUAGUUUAUUUUCUCAGCCGAUUGAAACAUUAUAGAACAUCACACCUUUGGUGAUUUUUAUUCAUAUAAUUUUUUUGUAAAUUAUUGUAAAUGUUCAAUAAAUGCUGAUGGGUGGUUUAAGGUUCUGAUGAAAUGUCCAACCCAGCCCUUGAC